UACGGGGGGAGCAAGCGUUGUUCGGAUUCAUUGGGCGUAAAGGGUGCGUAGGCGGCGCGGUAAGUCGGGUGUGAAAUCUCGGAGCUUAACUCCGAAACUGCAUUCGAUACUGCCGUGCUUGAGGACUGGAGAGGAGACUGGAAUUUACGGUGUAGCAGUGAAAUGCGUAGAUAUCGUAAGGAAGACCAGUGGCGAAGGCGAAUCUCUGGACAGUUACUGACACUGAGGCACGAAGGCCAGGGGAGCAAACGGG
rnacentral:rRNA from 1 species